CACCGCCUGGGGAGUACGACCGCAAGGUUAAAACUCAAAUGAAUUGACGGGGACCCGCACAAGUAGUGGAGCAUGUGGUUUAAUUCGAAGAUACGCGCAGAACCUUACCAACACUUGACAUGUUCGUCGCGACUUUAAGAGAUUAAAGUUUUCGGUUCGGCCGGACGAAACACAGGUGCUGCAUGGCUGUCGUCAGCUCGUGUCGUGAGAUGUUGGGUUAAGUCCCGCAACGAGCGCAACCCUCACUUUUAGUUGCCACCAUUUAGUUGGGCACUCUGAAAGAACUGCCAGUGAUAAGCUGGAGGAAGGUGGGGAUGACGUCAAGUCCUCAUGGCCCUUACGUGUUGGGCUACACACGUGCUACAAUGGCAUUUACAAUAGGAAGCAAGAUGGCGACAUCGAGCAAAUCCUAAAAAGAUGCCUCAGUUCGGAUUGCACUCUGCAACUCGAGUGCAUGAAGCUGGAAUUACUAGUAAUCGCGGAUCAGCGCGCCGCGGUGAAUACGUUCCCGGGUCUUGUACACACCGCCCGUCACACCAUGGGAGUUGGUUCUACCUUAAGGCAAAGUUUAAAACCUUUGACCACGGUAUAGUCAGCGACUGGGGUGAAGUCGUAACAAGGUAGCCGUAGGGGAACCUGCGGCUGGAUUACCUCCUUUCUAAGGAUAAUUAAGAAUAAUUUCUUAAUUUAAAUAUUUAACAGGUUAAUGUUGACCGUCCUCAUUUCUCUUCUUUGACAGAAUUUAGUGUUUAAAAUUAACUGAAUAGGGCCGGUAGCUCAGUUGGUUAGAGCACACCCUUGAUAAGGGUGGGGUCGAAAGUUCGAGUCUUUCUCGGCCCACCAAUUUUUUUUGGGGGGAUUAGCUCAGCUGGGAGAGCGCCUGAUUUGCAUUCAGGAGGUCAGCGGUUCGAUCCCGCUAUCCUCCACCAAAACACUUAGUUAUAAAAAAUCGUAAAUAAAAAUAAUUAAUAUCAAUAUCUAUAUCCGAACAUUAGAAAUGUUAUUAGCUAAUGUUCAAAAUAAAAAUUUGAUUCAACACAGAAUUUUUUUCUG
rnacentral:sRNA from 1 species